UGGGAAGAAAAUUAUUUCGACAAGAUUCACUCUACCGUGCUUAUCGCGGUCCUCUAGAUUACAUGGAAGCGCGUGAACUCCAAACUCUUCUGCGACAUUUUUGAGGAAUUGCACAUUACUGCUAGCAAGAUUGUUGAUGAUCUUAUGUUGUGGUCUAACAGGUAUUCAAACGAAAUUAAUAAAGUGCUCCUUAGAAAUUAGAGCACUAUGUUGUAUCACCUAUCCGUGAGAUUGUAAUUUUGUCCCUCCUUCUCUUUUCUAUUAGUCCCACUGUCUCAUUUGCCUUUGUAUAGUUCUCAGUUUUAUGAAGUGGUUCAGGCCGGCAUAGUCCCUCUAAAGAAAAUAAGGCGGCGAGUGACGCCUCGCCUUCUCUGAAGUCUGGACUGAAAAUUAUGUGGUUCUCUACUACUCGAAGAAAGGUAAAUAGUCUUUUAUGUGAUUCAUUUUUUCCAUUUGAAUAAACAGUGUGGACAUUUCCCCACAAAUGAGAUUCGUCCACCCCCCUUCUUGCCUUGUUCCAAUCUUCAGUCCAACUGUAAUAACAGAAACAAACCUUCUCCUCCUUUUGUAGAUGAAGAAGAAAUGGCUGGCUUACCAAUCGCCUAAGCACCAAGAGCUUUGGCGCCCAACUAUUGAAGAAGGCUCGGGCUGAUGGAGCUGUCCCAAACAAGGUAUAAACCUGACACCUUUCUGCUCCUGGAGUCCUUGCAUGCCUUCAAAGCAUGUAAUCUUGAUGAUUGCAAUUUUUAGAUGGUUUGAUGGUUGAUUCUCAUUCCUUUGGUGGUUGCAGAAUGUCAUGGCGCAGGUGUUGCCAUUGUCCCUAUCAACCUUCACCGGUGGUUACACAUACACGCACCCACGAACUAUUAGGUCAGGGGAGAAAACAGAGCAGCGGUCUUCAGUUAGAACAGAGGAGCACACGCAGUCAGGUUUCAGGAACCAAUGCCUUCAUAAUUUUUCUUUUUCAACUGAUUGCUGGCUAAACAUGCACAACCCUCUUAUUGCAAG
rnacentral:lncRNA from 1 species